rnacentral:tRNA from 1 species
GGGGGUGUAGCUCAGUGGUAGAGCGUUCGCUUCGCAUGUGAAAGGUCCGGGGUUCAAGUCCCCGCUCCUCCA